rnacentral:rRNA from 1 species
UUUUAUGGAGAGUUUGAUCCUGGCUCAGGAUGAACGCUGGCGGCGUGCCUAAUACAUGCAAGUCGAGCGAACAGAUAAGGAGCUUGCUCCUUUGACGUUAGCGGCGGACGGGUGAGUAACACGUGGGUAACCUACCUAUAAGACUGGAAUA